rfam:Trichobilharzia regenti genome assembly, scaffold: TRE_scaffold0002469
GUACUGCUGAAGAGUCCCAAACUAAGACGAAACAGCUGUCCAGUAC